UCUCGCUCAUGCCAUGGGCAGAUCGGUUUUCUAUUCCGCAACAGGACCUCCUUCACUCAUGCUGCCAAACUCACUUUGGUGAAAAUGACAAUCUUACCAAUUCUCGAUUUCAGUGAUGUUAUUUACAGAACUGCCUCAAACUCUCUCCUGAAAACAUUGGAUGUUCUCUAUCACAGUGCCAUACGUUUUUGUCUGUUCCGUGUGUUCCGUGCCAUCGUCCGUUGGAGGAGCUGUC